CGUACAGCGCAAGCUGAUUGCACAGUCUUUUUUAUUAAGACAAUAUUAAGUUUAUAUAUCUAAUAUGUAUAUUAAGAUAUAUAUCUAAAAUCUAUAUCAACAUAUAUAUAUUGGAUAUAAAUUUAGUUGUGCAAGAUCAACUAUGUUGAAUAAAGUUCUAGUUAGAAUUAUGAUAAUGACAUUUUCUAACUAUGUGUCUUGACCAAAACACGUGCCAGCAGUCGCGGUAAGACGUGAAAGACUAGUGUUAUUCAUCUUUAUUUGGUUUAAAGGGUACUUAGACGGUUAAUAAAGCCCGCUAGGGUACUAAUUGACUAGAGUUUUAUGUGAGAAGGGGAGUACGAGAGAGUGGAGAGAUGAAAUUUGAUGAUACCUUACUCGGACUGGCAACGGCGAAGGCAACCUUUUAUGUAAAAACUGACGUUGAAGGACGAAGGCUUAGGGCACAAAUAGGAUUAGAUACCCUAGUAGUCUAAGCAGUAAACGAUGAAUGUCAUAGAUUAGAUUUAUAAUUUGGUCUAUAAAUGAAAAUGUAAGCAUUCCACCUCAAGAGUAAUGUGGCAACGCAGGAACUGAAAUCAUUAGACCGUUUCUGAAAACAGUAGUGAAGUAUGUUGUUUAAUUUGUUGGCUCGCAAAAAACCUUACCACAGUCUGAAUAGAUAUUUAAAUAUCUUACAAGCGCUGCACGGCUGUUUUCAGUUAAUGUCGCGAGAUAUUGGUUAGGUCCAUUAAAUUAACGUAAACCCUUACUUUAUUUUUUAUUAUAAAGUAGUUCACCGAUAUAAUGGUAAUGAUAAAAGGGAAUAAUACAAGUCAAUAUGGCCUUAGCAUUGUGGGCUAUAAACGUGCCACAUAAGCCUGUACAAAGGGAUG
rnacentral:rRNA from 1 species